ACCCCAAAACACCCAAAUAUCCCAAAUCUGCCCCAAACAUCCCCAAAUCCUGACCCCAAUCCCAUCCCUGACCCCAAAUCCCCCCCAAACAUCCCCAAAUCUGCCCCCAAAACACCCAAACAUCCCAAAAUCCGCCCCAAACACCCCCCGCUCCCGCCCCCAAUCCCACCCCAGUCCCUAUAACCCCAUCCUGCCCCACACCCCCAGGGAAACCCUCCCAUUUUGGGGCCGUCCCACUUCCCCUCCCCGUCUGUGGGGCACGUGAGGCCCCGUGAGUCAGCGUGGGGUUGGGUGCGGGGUGCAGUUUGGGGUGCGCUGUGGGGCGGCCCCAAAACUAUUUGGGGUCUUUUGGGGGCAGCUUUGGAAGCGGCCGGAGGCAGCGAUGAACCCCUGCGUGCCCUACAAGAAGCUGCCCCCCGCGGACCCCGCAGCGAUGGAUUCCCCCCGCCGCCUCCCCGUGCCGGCGCUGCUCUGUGCCACCCUCGGGGUUCUUUCCUUCCUCCUCCUCUUCCUCUGCUUCGGCCUCGGGGGAACCUCGGAGCUGCGGGGUCACAGCGGGGCCGGAGGCUGCGGGGACACCUGCAGGGUGAGCGCAUCCUGGCUGAGAUCCUCCAGCUGCCCCGGCGCGGGGUGGCCGUCCGGGUGGCCGUCAGCACCCCGGGGCACACGACCCCAAUGGGGGACCUGCUGGCCCUACAGCGCAGCGGUGAGCAACGGCCCCACAGCGGGNNNNNNNNNNNNNNNNNNNNNNNNNNNNNNNNNNNNNNNNUGGGCUGCGGGGGGACCCAAAGUUGGGGUAUGGGGGGACCCAACACUGGGGUAUGGGGGGACCCAGAGGUGGGGUAUGGGGGGACCCAACAUUAGGGAAUGGGGACCCAAAGAUGGGGGGGUCCAACAUUGGGGUAUGGGGGGACCCAAUGUUGGGGAAUGGGGUACAAAGAGGGGGGACCCAAAGUUAAGGUAUGGGGGGGACCCAAUGUUGGGGAAUGGGGUACAAAGUGGGGAGACCCAAUGUUGGGGUAUGGGGGGACCCAGAGGUGGGCUAUGGGGGGACCCAACAUUAGGGAAUGGGGACCCAAAGAUGGGGGGAUCCAAGUUGAGGAAUGGGGUACAAAGUAGGGGACCCAAAGUUAAAGUAUGGGGGGACCCAGAGGUGGGGUAUGGGGACCCAAAGAUGGGGGGAACCAAUGUUGGGGAGUGGGGGGACCCGGAGUUGGGGUAUGGGGGGACCCAGGGGUGGGAUAUGGGGGUCCCAGAGGUGGGAUAUGGGGGUCCCACAGGUGGGCUAUGGG
ensembl:lncRNA